rnacentral:lncRNA from 1 species
AGGGAUUUUAGUUUCUAAAGCCUAGGAUGCACUGACUGGCACCAGAUAUUUUUCCAAGGUAAAGGCAAAAUUCCACCUCUUGCCCCACACUGGGGAAGUACAGAGGACAGGUAAACUCUGAAAGCUGUAAAGGGCAGUCUGGCAGUGCAUGCCUUCAGACCUUCUUUUCUUACUGCCCACCACAUCAGGCAUAUUUGUGAAAACCAUACACCUCUGUGGUCCUGCCAUAGCAAACAAACAGAACCACGUGCCCUGUGUCUUCUCUCUACUCUGGUCACAUCCACCAUCCACAUACCUAACAGCAACUCUGCAAAGGACAGGGGCAGCGGAGACAAAGCAAGGAAGUCUCCCCACACCACACACACACUUUCCGGACUGUUUCCCAAAACAGGAUCACAGAAAGCAACUUUUGGAAGUCUGUCUGCCAGGGCCUGGUGACCAAGGUGACACAUAGGUAACUUGUCAGUUCCACUGAUGACAGGAAUACCACUUUCCCAAAUAGACCUUCCAAAAAAAAAAGUUCUUUUUCCAUUAUUUUCUUAUUAUGUCCUCACCCAGGAUAAGAAUUCCAAUUCCAGUGAAACAGCAAAGGGUCAGAAUGACUUUAAAUGAAAGGAAUGGAGGGAUAUUUCUAUAUGUCCCCACUCAGGGCCUCUGGCUUCUUGCAGAAACCAGAACUUUUCCACAGAAUGUUUUUCUGUCCAAUACGCGGGGUCCCUAGUGAGGCAUAAAAUGAUGUCCUGUGGACCUCUCAGGCCACAGUGAUGGAUGGGUAGGGUGCUCAGUGUGGGGCCAGGUACACUGUGUGAGGUGUUGGGCAGGCACCCGCCCAUGUUCCUACCACUAUGAACAGCCUGGAGACCUUGCCCAGCCCUCCUCUCUCCCAGUUCUUGGGCUCCACUAUGGAGCAGUGUAUUCUGUCUGCUUCCCACUGCAAACAGAGACUGCCAUUGAGCCAUUUUCCUCCACACUGCACACAGUUUCUGCUGCCAAGAUGUCACCGUGCAACACAUUCCCUCACCCCCUCCUCUCUGGGGCUGGCCGAACAGAACCCUGCUGUCCCUGAGCACGUGCGUGAACGUGGGAUCAGCAGCCCAGCCCUCCCCAGCCCUCUGCAGAGCGGACCGCAGCGUGUUUGCCCAAGGGGUUCAGAGAGAGGACAGCUUGGGGGUGGUUCUAUUUUUCAGAUCUGGAUCAGCUCACGCCGCCUGCCAAGCUGCACCUUCUCUUUUGUGGGCAGGUUUUUCCUGGUUCUGCACAUAGCAGGUACUCCAUAAACGCAUGCCCUUCCCAGUGACCUGUCCCGCUGGCAAGUCCUCCAUGAGGUAACUUCUGCUGGGAGGGCAUCAUGGCCACAUGUGCAGCUUCUUUCUGUAGUUCUACCACCAGCUUGGGGCUUUUCCAACACAAACACGGCAGGGGCAAAGCAGGGGGCAGCUUCCUUUCUCCGCAGAGCAGUUCUCAAAGUUGCCCUUGACCCAGGCCUACAUGCAGCAGCCCCUCUGGGGCUGGGUGGAUGGAUGGCUGCUUCUGCAUUUCAGGAAUUUUCAGGUUUGCCCAGGUCAUGUAGGUGGGCCUUGGGAAGGAUUCGUGGGAAAGAGCUCGCACUACAUCAAUGCAAGCUUGUCCUUAGACCUGCCAGGUUGACCUUGGUGACAAAAAGGUGACCCCAAGGAGCAUCCCCCUGUAUGGCUUUCUAAAUAUGGGGAUGGGAAAUCUCCUUUCCCAGGAUGGGCUAGGUUGCCCCCUGGGGAUGGGGCUUCUCUGCCCUGACUGCAGAGGCUCCCCUGCUGAUUUCUGCUGUGUCACUGCCUUGAGAAGGACAUGUGAAACUGCUCAGGGGCUUAGCAGAGGGAGAUGAAACCAAGAAGUCUGGCUUUUCACGUGAGGCACAGGGGGUAAAGGAGGGGAAGGAAUAAUAGGUGCCAAGGGUUGCCUUGCAACUUCUCGCCGUUUGAACUGGACUUCCCUGAGCCUUUUAGGCCUUCGGUAUUUUAUAGGACAAAGUGGUCUUUUUGUGACCCCCCAGAACUGAACUGAAGGGAGCAUAAAACCAUGUCCGUGACAGUACCAGGCACCGAUUCGGCGCCAAGGAGAGUCCUGGGUGGCUGGGUCACCUGCAGAUUUUGUCGCCCAGGUCUAGACCGGUGUGAGCCGCCAGCCAGGCAGUACGACUGGUUUCCGAGGGAACAACCCACUGGGGUCUGACCGGUCGGUCUCCUACACCAUCUCAUCCCUUCCCAACCCCGGAUCCGGGCUGCCGCCCUGGGUGGGUUU